AUUGAACGCUGGCGGCAUGCUUUACACAUGCAAGUCGAACGGUAACAGGUUAAGCUGACGAGUGGCGAACGGGUGAGUAAUGCAUCGGAACGUGCCCGGUCGUGGGGGAUAACGCAGCGAAAGCUGCGCUAAUACCGCAUACGAUCUGAGGAUGAAAGCGGGGGACCGUAAGGCCUCGCGCGAUCGGAGCGGCCGAUGUCAGAUUAGGUAGUUGGUGGGGUAAAGGCUCACCAAGCCAACGAUCUGUAGCUGGUCUGAGAGGACGACCAGCCACACGGGGACUGAGACACGGCCCAGAAUCCUACGGGAGGCAGCAGUGGGGAAUUUUGGACAAUGGGCGAAAGCCUGAUCCAGCAAUGCCGCGUGCAGGAAGAAGGCCUUCGGGUUGUAAACUGCUUUUGUACGGAGCGGAAAGGUCUCCUCUAAUACAGGGGGCUCAUGACGGUACCGUAAGAAUAAGCACCGGCUAACUACGUGCCAGCAGCCGCGGUAA
rnacentral:rRNA from 1 species